UGAUCAUGGCUCAGAACGAACGCUGGCGGCAUGCCUAACACAUGCAAGUCGAACGAGACCUUCGGGUCUAGUGGCGCACGGGUGCGUAACGCGUGGAAAUCUGCCCUUUGCUUCGGAAUAACAGUUAGAAAUGACUGCUAAUACCGGAUGAUGUCUUCGGACCAAAGAUUUAUCGGCAAAGGAUGAGCCCGCGUAGGAUUAGGUAGUUGGUGGGGUAAAGGCCUACCAAGCCGACGAUCCUUAGCUGGUCUGAGAGGAUGAUCAGCCACACUGGGACUAAGACACGGCCCAGACUCCUACGGGAGGCAGCAGUGGGGAAUAUUGGACAAUGGGCGAAAGCCUGAUCCAGCAAUGCCGCGUGAGUGAUGAAGGCCUUCGGGUCGUAAAGCUCUUUUACCAGGGAUGAUAAUGACAGUACCUGGAGAAUAAGCUCCGGCUAACUCCGUGCCAGCAGCCGCGGUAAUACGGAGGGAGCUAGCGUUGUUCGGAAUUACUGGGCGUAAAGAGUACGUAGGCGGCUAUUCAAGUCAGAGGUGAAAGCCCGGGGCUCAACCCCGGAACUGCCUUUGAAACUAGGUAGCUAGAAUCUUGGAGAGGUCAGUGGAAUUCCGAGUGUAGAGGUGAAAUUCGUAGAUAUUCGGAAGAACACCAGUGGCGAAGGCGACUGACUGGACGAGUAUUGACGCUGAGGUACGAAAGCGUGGGGAGCAAACAGGAUUAGAUACCCUGGUAGUCCACGCCGUAAACGAUGAUAACUAGUUGUUCGGUCACUUGGUGACUGAGUGACGCAGCUAACGCAUUAAGUUAUCCGCCUGG
rnacentral:rRNA from 1 species